UACAGAGGGUGCAAGCGUUGUUCGGAAUUAUUGGGCGUAAAGGGCGCGUAGGCGGUGCGGUAAGUCUGCGGUGAAAUCUCCCGGCUCAACUGGGAGGCUGCCGUGGAAACUGCCGUGCUUGAGUGUGGGAGAGGUGAGUGGAAUUCCUGGUGUAGCGGUGAAAUGCGUAGAUAUCAGGAGGAACACCUGUGGCGAAAGCGGCUCACUGGACCAUAACUGACGCUGAUGCACGAAAGCUAGGGGAGCAAACAGG
rnacentral:rRNA from 1 species